GAAAAACACAAUUAGUCCAGCAAAAGAAAAUUUAUAAAAUAACAGAAAUAUUAUUUACGUCAAAGUGUUAAUCCUCAAAUGUAUGCAAGGAACAAAUGAGGAUUCAAGAAUUAUACUUUUAACACAGUGCAAAAGAACAAAAAAUAAAAAACAAGUCACAAUCUAAGCAGCACAGAGAAUAGUCAGGCAAGAUCUAUCCAAGCCUCAUAUGAAAAACCCUAAAGAUGCAAAUUAUAAAGAGUUAAAUACAAACUAAAAAUGACAUAACAAAACAGCAGAAACAUCAGCCAAGUUGUGCGGGCUUUAAGGCUUUUUAAAAUUACAUUUACAUCUACUAUAGAGUCCGCAAAAAACAAUAGUCCAAAGGAGGAUGUUUUUUCCAUUGUAUAGAAGGAUGUACUAGAUUCAUGAGAUGAAUUGAAGGCUUCGUAAUACAUCCUCCAGUAUGUCUUUGAAUUGGUCACCGUUUCACCAAUGAAUAAGGAAAAAUGAAACUUUGAAGAGCAGAUACCUAGGAAAAGUACAUUACUCAAGAAAGCAUUCUCAAAAUGUCAACUACAUACGGUGCUGUCACAAAUAGCAAUGAAAACCACACUUCUUGAGGGGGAAUAUAAAGAGAGAGACUUGAGGAACUCGAACAGUUUUGCUAAUUUAAGUUUUUGUAAGUGAACACCUAAACAAGUUGACAAGAAAAUACCAAUGUCAUUUCUUUACAAUUUCUUUUAAACAAAACAUCAUAUGAUAAAAGAUAAUAAUUUUCAAAAACAUAACAGUACCUC
rnacentral:misc_RNA from 1 species